UACGGAGGAUGCGAGCGUUAUCCGGAUUUAUUGGGUUUAAAGGGUGCGUAGGCGGACUGUCAAGUCAGCGGUAAAAUUGAGAGGCUCAACCUCUUCCCGCCGUUGAAACUGGUGGUCUUGAGUGGAUGAGAAGUACGCGGAAUGCGUGGUGUAGCGGUGAAAUGCAUAGAUAUCACGCAGAACUCCGAUUGCGAAGGCAGCGUACCGGCAUCCAACUGACGCUGAGGCACGAAAGCGUGGGGAUCAGACAGG
rnacentral:rRNA from 1 species